GACGAACGCUGGCGGCGUGCCUAAUACAUGCAAGUCGAACGCAGUGGGGACGGGUGAGUAACACCUGGGUAACCUCCCCAUCAGAGUGGAUAACACUUGGAAACAGGUGCAAAACCCAUACUGUUGGAUGGCCCCGCGGUGCAUUCGCUAGUUGGGGAGGUAACGGCUCACCAAGGCCCCGAUGCAUAGCCGACCUGAGAGGGUGAUCGGCCACACUGGGACUGAGACACGGCCCAGACUCCUACGGGAGGCAGCAGUAGGGAAUCUUCGGCAAUGGACGAAAGUCUGACCGAGCAACGCCGCGUGAGUGAAGAAGGUUUUCGGAUCGUAAAACUCUGUUGUUAGAGAAGCGGUAUCUAACCAGAAAGCCACGGCUAACUACGUGCCAGCAGCCGCGGUAAUUC
rnacentral:rRNA from 1 species